rnacentral:rRNA from 1 species
AUACAGAGGGUGCGAGCGUUAAUCGGAUUUACUGGGCGUAAAGCGUGCGUCGGCGGCUUUUUAAGUCGGAUGUGAAAUCCCUGAGCUUAACUUAGGAAUUGCAUUCGAUACUGGGAAGCUAGAGUAUGGGAGAGGAUGGUAGAAUUCCAGGUGUAGCGGUGAAAUGCGUAGAGAUCUGGAGGAAUACCGAUGGCGAAGGCAGCCAUCUGGCCUAAUACUGACGCUGAGGUACGAAAGCAUGGGGAGCAAACAGGAUUAGAAACCCUAGUAGUCC